rnacentral:rRNA from 1 species
CACGUAGUUAGCCGUGGCUUUCUGGUUAGGUACCGUCAAGGUACCGGCAGUUACUCCGGUACUUGUUCUUCCCUAACGACAGAGUUUUACGAUCCGAAAACCUUCAUCACUCACGCGGCGUUGCUCCGUCAGACUUUCGUCCAUUGCGGAAGAUUCCCUACUGCUGCCUCCCGUAGGAGUCUGGGCCGUGUCUCAGUCCCAGUGUGGCCGAUCACCCUCUCAGGUCGGCUACGCAUCGUUGCCUUGGUGAGCCGUUACCUCACCAACUAGCUAAUGCGCCGCGGGCCCAUCUAUAAGUGAUAGCGAGAAGCCAUCUUUCAGCUUCCAGACAUGUGUCCAAAAGCAUUAUCCGGUAUUAGCUCCGGUUUCCGAAGUUAUCCCAGUCUCAUAGGCAGGUUCGCCCUACGUGUUACUCACCCGUCCGCCGCUAAUCUUUGGGAGCAAGCCUCCCUCAGACUCCGCUCGACUUGCAUGUAUUACGGCACGCCGCCAGGCGUUCGUCCUGCGCCGAC